rnacentral:lncRNA from 1 species
GAAAAUAAAGAAAAAAUUCUCUCUUAAUUUCUUCAUUAUGUUUGCACCAAAUCCCUCUUAUCUUACCUCUUUUGUUUUCCCCAAAAGUAUUCGCCUAUUUCACCCAAUUUCUCCAAGCCCUAGUUCCUACCCCUGUUCGAGAAUUUUCGAAUUCAUUAAGGAGAUUUGGAAGAUUUGAUUACAGGAAAAGACAAUUUUCGAAUUCAUUAAUUUCCCCUUCUUCUCCGGG